rnacentral:rRNA from 1 species
GACGAACCGUGCGAACGUUUUUCGGAAUCACUGGGCUUAAAGGGCGCGUAGGCGGGUGACCAAGUCCGGGGUGAAAUCCUUCGGCUCAACCGGAGAACUGCCUUGGAUACUGGUCAUCUCGAGGGAGGUAGGGGUCUGUGGAACUGAUGGUGGAGCGGUGAAAUGCGUUGAUAUCAUCAGGAACGCCGGUGGCGAAAGCGACGGACUGGACCUUCACUGACGCUGAGGCGCGAAAGCUAGGGGAGCAAACGGG